rnacentral:rRNA from 1 species
CGAGCGAACUAAUGGGAGCUUGCUCCUAAUGGUUAGCGGCGGACGGGUGAGUAACACGUGGGCAACCUGCCCUGUAGAUCGGGAUAACAUCGAGAAAUCGGUGCUAAUACCGGAUAAUUUCUAAAAUCUCAUGGUUCUAGAAUAAAAGAUGGCUCCGGCUAUCACUACGGGAUGGGCCCGCGGCGCAUUAGCUAGUUGGUAAGGUAACGGCUUACCAAGGCGACGAUGCGUAGCCGACCUGAGAGGGUGAUCGGCCACACUGGGACUGAGACACGGCCCAGACUCCUACGGGAGGCAGCAGUAGGGAAUCUUCCGCAAUGGACGAAAGUCUGACGGAGCAACGCCGCGUGAGUGAUGAAGGAUUUCGGUUCGUAAAGCUCUGUUGUUAGGGAAGAACAAGUGCCGUUCAAAUAGGGCGGCACCUUGACGGUACCUAACCAGAAAGCCACGGCUAACUACGUGCCAGC